AGUGAACGCUGGCGGUAGGCCUAACACAUGCAAGUCGAACGGCAGCACAGUAAGAGCUUGCUCUUACGGGUGGCGAGUGGCGGACGGGUGAUGAAUACAUCGGAAUCUACUUUUUCGUGGGGGAUAACGUAGGGAAACUUACGCUAAUACCGCAUACGACCUACGGGUGAAAGCAGGGGAUCUUCGGGCCUUGCGCGAUUGAAUGAGCCGAUGUCGGAUUAGCUAGUUGGCGGGGUAAAGGCCCACCAAGGCGACGAUCCGUAGCUGGUCUGAGAGGAUGAUCAACCACACUGGAACUGAGACACGGUCCAGACUCCUACGGGAGGCAGCAGUGGGGAAUAUUGGACAAUGGGCGCAAGCCUGAUCCAGCCAUACCGCGUGGGUGAAGAAGGCCUUCGGGUUGUAAAGCCCUUUUGUUGGGAAAGAAAAGCAGCAGGUUAAUACCCCGCUGUUCUGACGGUACCCAAAGAAUAAGCACCGGCUAACUUCGUG
rnacentral:rRNA from 1 species